CAGGGCAUAGCGAAGCCAGGUAUUGCGCUUGCUUUGGAAGCAAGAGAUCGGAGGUUCAAAUCCUUCUGCCCUGA
rnacentral:tRNA from 1 species